GUUAUUGCUUCGCCCAGCUGAUCCGCGGAUCACAGCGUAGAAGCUCAGAACAGCUGAUCGUGACGUAACGAAGCGCGAGGCCACGCCCCCGACUCCGCCCACAACGUGUCCCUGAGCCAAUCACGAUGUUACACAAGAAACUGCUGAUCUCCUGGGAUUUUCACCCACAGCGGUCUCUAGAGAUUACACAGAAUGGUGCGAAAAACAAAAAACAUCUAAUCUGCGGGUGGAAACACCUUGCUGAUGAGAGAGGUCAGAGGAGAACAGGCAGACUGAUUUGAGUUGACAGGAAGGCUAAAUGUAAUAAGCACUCUUUACAACCGUGGUGAGCAGAAAAGCAUCUCAGAACACAUGACGUGGCAAUCCUCGAGGCGGAUGAGCUUCAACAGUCGAAGACCACAUCGAGUUCCUCUCCUGUCAGCCAAGAACAGGAAUCUGUGGACACAGAAGAUUUGGAAAAAGACCAGGCGAUGAUUUUCCCGUCUUCAGCGGUUGUUGCAUAAGCAUAAGCAUACUUAUUAACUUCAUGAGAGAGAAAAAAGAGAGGCUGGUGAGGAAACAACUGUUUAUAACUGCAAGAACGUUGGUAAGAACAGGAACUAACUCGUCUCACGGGUGUUCCACAACACUAAAUGUAACUAUAAACAGAUAAAAAAAGUAUGACGUGUCAUUCUAGCAAGUCUCUGUGUUAUAAGGUCAUACUACAUACUAAGCAUACGACACACUAAUAAUGUGUUAAUUAAAUAUUCAUAUAAUUUACACUAAUAAUUCCACAGAUACACACGUACAUUACUGAAUUAAAGUAUGCUAAUGGCCACAAGAGAGUAAUUUAUUAGCAAUGAUCGACAUUUUCCCCCUCUGGUUUUUCUUAAACAGCAGGAAGUCAUUCAUAAAUUCACUCUUUUAUUUUACACUGUAAGUUCAUUUGGCAUAAAAAUGACUCUACGGACAAUACACUGGUGUAAUCCAACGUCAGCACAGUUGUAGCCCAUUUCACUAAAGAUAUUUUUUCCCCCAAAAGUUAGCAUAUUGAAUUGUUUGUCACAUUGUAUUAUUGACUGAGUAUUGAACUUUGAAUACUUUGCACAGCACUACACUACACUACAUGUGUUUCUUCCUAACCUUUAUAAGCUUUACAUUUAUCAGCAUGUUCUUAUCAUAGUUUCUGUAUUUAAUGAUAGUCAGAAUAUACAGUAUAUAACAUUAUUUUGCAUCGUAUAUGUAUAUUGAUCUGCACUGAACUGAAAUAAAGAAAUGAAAUAUGA